rnacentral:rRNA from 1 species
CAGCACCUCAAGUGGUCAGGAUGAUUAUUGGGCCUAAAGCAUCCGUAGCCGGCGCUGUAAGUUUUCGGUUAAAUCUGUACGCUCAACGUACAGGCUGCCGGGAAUACUGCAGCGCUAGGGAGUGGGAGAGGUAGACGGUACUCGGUAGGAAGGGGUAAAAUCCUUUGAUCUAUUGAUGACCACCUGUGGCGAAGGCGGUCUACCAGAACACGUCCGACGGUGAGGGAUGAAAGCUGGGGGAGCAAACCGGAUUAGAUACCCGAGUAGACC